rnacentral:rRNA from 1 species
AUGGAGAGUUUGAUCCUGGCUCAGGAUGAACGCUAGCGGCAGGCUUAACACAUGCAAGUCGAACGCACCUUCGGGUGAGUGGCAGACGGGUGAGUAACGCGUGAGCAACCUACCUCUAUCAGGGGGAUAGCCUCUCGAAAGAGAGAUUAACACCGCAUAACAUCACGGGAUAGCAUUAUUUUGUGAUCAAAUAUUUAUAGGAUAAAGAUGGGCAUGCGGGACAUUAGCUAGUUGGCGGGGUAACGGCCCACCAAGGCGACGAUGACUAGGGGAUCUGAGAGGAUGAC